rnacentral:rRNA from 1 species
AUAAGUUAAAGAGCCGCGGUAACUUGACCGUGCAAAGGUAGCAUAAUCAUUAGUUUUUUAAUUGAAAACUUGUAUGAAAGGUCUGACAAAGAAAAAGCUGUCUUUAUUAUAAAAAUUGAAUUUAACUUUUAAGUGAAAAGGCUUAAAUAAUUUAGAGGGACGAUAAGACCCUAUAAAGCAUUUUAUUGGGGUGAUAUUAAUAAAAGUAUUAACUGUUAAAAAAAAAUACAUAAAUAAAGGGAAUGAUCCUUGUUUAAAGAUUAAAAGAUUAAGUUACUUUAGGGAUAACAGCGUAAUUUUUCUUGAGAGUUCAUAUCGAAAGAAAAGAUUUCGACCUCGAUGUUGAAUUAAGAUAUCUGUGUAAAGUAGUCAUUACAUAAGAAGGUCUGUUCGACCUUUAAAUUUUU